GCACAACGCGAAGAACCUUACCUAGGCUUGACAUGCAUCUCUAAGCGCGUGAAAGCGCGUGACCCUUCGGGGGAUUUGCACAGGUGCUGCAUGGCCGUCGUCAGCUCGUGUCGUGAGAUGUUGGGUUAAGUCCCGCAACGAGCGCAACCCUUGUGAACAGUUGCCAGCACUUAAGGUGGGAACUCUGUUCAGACUGCCCAGAUCAACUGGGAGGAAGGUGGGGACGACGUCAGGUCAGUAUGGCCCUUACGCCUAGGGCUGCACACGUACUACAAUGCCCAGCACAAUGAGAACCGAGACCGCGAGGUGGAGGAAAUCUAUAAAACUGGGCCCAGUUCGGAUUGGAGGCUGCAACUCGCCUCCAUGAAGCCGGAAUCGCUAGUAAUGCCGCAUCAGCUACGGCAGCGUGAAUACGUUCCCGGGUCUUGUACACACCG
rnacentral:rRNA from 1 species